AUAUAUUGGGAUAGAUUAGUAUAUAUAUAUAUAUAUGUAUAUUUAUAUAAUUUAUAGAUAGAAAAAGUAAUUUUAGGUAUAUUUAGUUUAAGUAUAUAAUUAGAAUUUAAUAUUUGAAAUUGAUAGAGAAUUUAGUAAUUUGUUUGAAAGUUUUUAUAAUUAAAAAAGUAAUUUUUAUUUAAUGUAUCUUGGGUAUCAGAGUAUUAUAAUAAUUAAUAAAAUUAAUUUAUUCUCGAAAUUUGAUGAGCUAAAUAUUAAAAAUUAAAUUAAGUUAAUGUGAAAUAAUUAUUUUAAAUUUAUAUUUAGAAAUGAAAAGUUAAUUCGUAUCAAUAGUUAUCUAGUUUUUAAAGAAAUUAAUUUAAUUAAAUAAAUUUGUAUGAAUAUAUGUUUAUAUUUAUUUAUAAGGAUAUUGUUAGAAUUUAUAUAUAUAUUUAGGGAUAAUCUUAAAUAUAAAUAAUUAUAUUUUUAAAUGAUAAAUAAAAUAUAAAUAAAGUUAUAAUAUUAGAAUUAUUUAUUAGGUUUAAUUUUUAAUUAAUAAUUUAUAUAUAUAUAUAUAUAUUUUAUUUUUAAAAUUAAUUAUUUAUUUAAAUAUUAUAUUUAAUAUUAAUAUAUAAGUAAAAAUGUAAUAAUUAGUAUAAUUAUAUAUAGAUAAUAUAUAAAAUUAAUUUAAAUGAAUGAAUUCGGCAAAGAUAUAUAUAUACAUAUAUAUUAAAUUUACCUGUUUAUCAAAAACAUGUCUUUUUGAUUUAAUUUAAAGUCUGAUCUGCCCACUGAAUUAGUAUAUAUAUAUAUAUAUAUGUAUAUAUAAAUUAAAGUUUGAAGGGCUGCAGUAUUUUGACUGUACAAAGGUAGCAUAAUAAUUAGUCUUUUGAUUGAAGACUAGAAUGAAUGAUUAAAUAAAAUUUAAACUAUAUAAAUUUAAAAUAAUAGAAUUUAAUUUUUUUAUUAAAAAGUAAAAAUAAUUUUUAAAGACGAGAAGACCCUAUAGAUUUUUAUAAUAAUUUCUUUUAUUUUAUAUUAAUUUUAUGUUAAUUGUAAUUAUUAUUGGAUUGGGGUGAUUUUAAAAUUAAUUUAAUUUUUAAAUUUUUGUUUAUGAAUAUAUAUUAAUAUAUAUAAUUUUUGAUCUUGAUAAUUUUGAUUAAUAGAUUAAGUUACCUUAGGGAUAACAGCGUUAUUUAGAUUUAAAGUUCAUAUUUAAAUUUAAUUUUGCGACCUCGAUGUUGGAUUAAGAGUUAAUCUAGAAGCAUAAGUUUAGGAUAAAUUAGUCUGUUCGACUAUUAAACUCUUACAUGAUCUGAGUUCAGACCGGCGUGAGCCAGGUUGGUUUCUAUCUUGAAAAAUUAAUGGUAUAAGAGGAGAUAUGAUAUACUUUAGUACGAAAGGAUUAAGUAUAAUAAAAAUGUUUAUUAAGGAUUAAUUAGAAUAAUAUUUAAUUUAAUUGUUGAAAAUUAAUUAAAAUGGUAAGAUUAU
rnacentral:rRNA from 1 species